UCUCUCUCUCUCUCUCUCUCUUUCUCUCUUUCUCGUGUUAAUUGUUUCACGUAUUUUAUUUCUCUACCUUGACGUUCCUUUCUCUUGCUUUCCGGAUCUCUUUUAUUUCUCGCAAGACGAUUCGACGAGAUCUCGAACUUUGUCGAAAUUUUCAUAGCUUUAAAAAAAAUAUAAACGGAGGAACAUACGAAAGAGAUUAUGCGAAGGAGAAUAAGAGAAAAAGAGAUGCAAGAAAAAGAAAGACGACGAAAGGAUAUAUGAAAGAGAUAAAGAAAAGGGAAUAGCAAAAUGUCAAUAUUCGACUAUGCGAACACGCAGGUGCAAUACGUACUACUAAUACGAAAUGCGAAAAAAGAAAAGAAAUCUAACAAAAAAAAAGAAAAGGAAUAAAGUGAAAGAAAAAUACUUGCAUACGCAAUUUGCAUAGUAAAUACGUUUUUUCGCAUGAUCAUCAAUUGUUACAAUAGUUAAUCGUCAUCGGUGCCAAGCACCGAUCACUCGCGUACCAUUAACUAAUUAUGUGUAUACGCAGGAGCAGCGAAAGACCGAGUUGUCGAUGUCGAUACUUCUUUUUUUUUUCCAAAAUUUUUUUUAACGCCAUUACUUACGAAACUCCCCUCGUUUUAGCGGCUUUAUUUCGCAAUCGCACGUUAAAAAAGUGGGGAAAAGAAAAACAUUUUUUUCGACGAUCUUUUAAACUGAUCCCAAAUUUUAUUUUGGUAUCGGACAUGGACUUUUUUACGAAAAAAUUUCAAAAACUUCGAUGAAACUUCAGCACAAUCGUGAUUUGACUGUUUUUUUUUAUUUAUUUUUUUUUUCGAUCGAACAAUCGCCGUCCUUCGACUCGCUCUUCGCUGACUUUCGGACUAGAUGCAAGUUAUGGCGGAACCAGGUUCCUAAUAGUAAUUUAGGGAGUGGGGAGAGUGAAAGAUUUUUUUUUCAUCUCAUAUAUUUUGUGACUGACGAGUGGUCUCGGCGGCGCGAGUUAUGGUCGUGGCCGAAUCGGCAGCUCCCAAAGAUCACCAGGAUAUAUCGUUAUACUUUUUUUUUUUCCUAAUUUUAAAUAAUAUAUUAUAUCACCAUCCGCGGACGUCGGCCACGACACGGGCCCGCGCGAACGCCCGAGGGUGUUCUGUUUUCAUUUUCACUUUUUUAUAUAAUAAAACUUACAAAUAAAACCACUCGAUGACUCUUAUCAUUUUAUUUCCAAACACCGUUUUUCUCUGUUCUUUUUUUAAAAUUUAUAUCCCCCCCCCCCAAUGAAAUCCUCUAACCCCUGUCACGCAUUUCUAAUUUUUUUAACUUUUUUUCCGACAAACGUUUCAAGGGUCAUCGUCAUUGCUCCAUGCGGGUAGCGGAUCAUGAAUCAAGAAAAUGAUAUAUUAUCAAGAAAUCGACGGAUCUUAUCGAAAUUUUAGAAGAAAAAAAUUUUUUUCUUCUUUUCAAAUUUGUGGAUGACGUUUUUUUUUUUUCGGAAAAUUAUUAUUUUCAGAAGAAACGAAUGAGAGGAAGCUGAAGAGGAAGGAUUGACAGACGAUGUGAGAUGAAGAAAAAAAAAAAAGAAAAUUUAUGCUCGUUGUGGGAAAUUUUCUAAAAUUUCAUACCACGUGCUCUUAUUUCUUGACUGCGCACUUACGUCAUACGGAACGUUCCAUGGAAUUCUAUGCGAUUAGUGAUUCGAUGCAAUAAAGUCGUGCAACGAACGUUUGUCUUGAAGGAGACGAAGAUAAAAGGAAAGAAAAAGAAAAAAUUAAUAACGUCAAAUUAUCCAUCGUCGCAGGAAGUUACGAUUUUCGUCGAAUAUCGAAUCAGUAAGGAUUUCAAGAGUAAAGAAAUUAAACUCGUAAUUGAUUAUCACGAGUAUCCGUAAAUUUUCCUUGGCCUCCUGAAAGCUAUAGUACCUUCGCGCUAACUGCGGCAAAGUCUUGAAAUCGAAUCAGUGUCACUCGGUAACUUUGGCGAACAAGGUCAACGGGAUAAAAAAAACAGGUGACUAUCGUCAUUAUAUACCCGGGAGAAAACAUUCUCGCGUAACCGCGAUAAUUAGUCAUCGAUUAACUGACAUUACCAAGAACUGCACCGAUUGGACAAAAAUUUAUUUAAUAAUAAAAUUCGAUAUUUUCGUAAAACGGCUUUGCCAUAAAUUUUAAUUUUCUUCUACGAUUUUAUUAUUUUUGUUUACGUCAAUCUUUUUUCUUUAAUUCUUUUUUCUUUAUCUUUAAAUCUUUACUAUCCCAUUCACGAUCAGCAUUGCCUAUUAUUUUUUCUUUAUUCAAUUAUUCGACUUUUCUACUUUCUUGCCCCUUGCAAUUUACUCCAUUCUUUUCUAUUCCAGUCUUCUCUCUUAUUAUUUCUCCUUUAGAUUUCUCCUCUCGUCCGGUCUCUUCUCUUCUCUUCUCUUCUCUUCUCUUCUCUUCUCUUACCAAGAGAGCCCUUGCUUGUCCUCCUCCCGAAUCCAGUCAGACCGGUUCGGUCGGGGCGUUAGAUUUUCGCGUGAUCGCACUUUCGGUUUCGGAAUAUUCUGUCCUUGGAACGAGUCUCGGCGCUGCCAACCUCAGCGACGCGAUACGCGACGCCCGGGAUCGGGAUCGACGAUCCAAAGGAACAAGAUCACGUUUCCACUGAUUAUUUCGUGAGCCUUGUUUCCAUUUUAUUGAGAACGUCUACUAUAUUUUACAUUAAAAUCAGACGAGUACCAACCUAAGCGACGUAAAUUGGUGGUCCGCACGUCGUCCAAUUAUCGGGACGCCGAGACGCCGGCGGACUGAAUGUAUCCUUUGUUGUAUAAGAAUUUAAGAAGUUGAUGACUUAACGAGUGUGCAUACAAUGAUCUCCCAAUGUCGUCGUUGACGUCGAUAUGAGUUUUCUUUCUCUUUGGAAAUUAAAAAAAAAGAAAAUUAUACCCUUAAAAAGAUUAUUGUUCAUUGCCAAUAUUUUUUUGCCAAGGGUAAUACGUGGUGACUCAAUGGAAAUCAAUAAAAAAUCAUUUAUUAUCAUUGGCAAAGGCGCAUCGACAAUGGAACCUGUGUUACGGGUAUGCACGUGAUCGAAUAGAAUUUUAAGAUUACAAGGUCAAGCCUAUUUAAUGAAGAAUCACGUCACGUUGAAGGACAAGAAAAAAGACUGUAAAAAUUUUCAAAAAGAAAAGAAAGCGAGAAAUAAGAAUGAAAGGAGACAAAUCGUCGAAAAAAAAAAGAUUUCUCAUCGUACGACGCUCAUCGAACGAUAUCAAUUUUUUGAGAGCAAGACGACAUAAUAAAAAAAUUUAUUAAUUCGACUCAAAAUUCGACUGUGAUAAGAAUAUGCGAAACGAAAGAUUCCGCGGUAAGACUGAAAAUGAAAAAAAAAAAAGCGUCGAGUACGUCGCAAAAAAAAGUCACGCAAAAAAAUCGUAUUCUACGCACAAUUGGCAAAAUUGUAAAUUCCAAAUAAAAAAAAAAAGAACACUAUUGGCCGAUCCAUGAAACAUUCCUCCAGCAAUUGGAUUCCCGUUCUCUUUGUGUGUGGCUACGUUUAUUUUUCACAAAAUCAUUGACGUCAUCGAAUCAAACACGUCACAAAUAUCAAGAGCGGUCAAAAACUGCUAUUGCUAUCGAUCAUUCGUUAAGUAAUGCAAUGGUGGGUGGUAAAAAGAGAUAAAUAAUUAAUUUUACCCAGAUCAAAAAAAAAUUCAAAAAUUUAUCUUACCACUCUGUCACCGAUGGUUUUUAAUUUUAUUUUUUAUUCAACUGUGACUACUCGCUGUACGAUCGGCACUGUGCGCGUACAAUUUUGCCGGAAUCAAACUAAUUGAUAAUCUUCUGAUUCGCGUGCAUGAAAUAAAAAAAUGUAUCAAGAGAGUCGCGUUAUGACUCUCGUUGGAUUUAGAACGACUGAUAGAUUUAUCUGAUAGGUGUUAUAACCGUGGUCGGGAAAAACGUAAAACGUGACUGCAUUCUUCUAACUAUAAGCUUUAUGCUUAUAUAGGCGUAUAUAUAUAUAUAGAUAUAUAUAUAUAUAUAUAAAUAUAUACGCAAAUAUGUACAGUACGAUAGGUUAAGUAGGUAUGCAUAUCGAGGGCAUCUCGACAUCGUGCGGACCACUGAUAUCCUGCAGGGUUCAGAUACGCUCGUUGGAGGAACGGUAAAUUUAAAAAAAAAAAAAAUCGAAAAAAUUAUAAAAAAUAGAAAAUAAAAAAAUAACGUAGAGGGACUGGGGUCCUCGAAUUGCGAAGUGGAAAUUACGUCUAGUAACGUCGAGUUUUUACGGAUUCGAAUUUAUUCUCGACGAAUCUCUUCGAUUUACAUUUUUUACAUUUUUUUGCUUUUAAUUCGCGCUCACAAUCCUGGCGAAUAUUUUUCAAUUCGAAAGCUAAUAUGAUAGCUGUUAUGAGCUGACAAGCACCUAUGAUUCUAAUCAUAAAUGUAGAUUCUCCUUGAAACACGUGUGGACGAUUUGGAUUCGAAUUUUGAAUUCAUUAUACACUGAUUUUUUAAAAUUUUGAUUUUUUUAUAAAUAUUUUUUUUGACCAACAUUCAUCUCUUACAGUCAAAAUGUAGAAUUCGGUAUGGUAACUUCAAAAAUGUGUAUACUUUUCGAAUUUGCAUAACGCACCGUUUGUUUUUAUAAAUAGACGUCUGAAAGAAAUUAACCCAAGGACGUCACUUGCCAAAAUUUCGCCAUUAAAUGAAUACGCCACACAAAAAAAUGAAGGAAAAAAAAUUUGCAUGGUUAUUAAAGUGGAUAAAUAUUUUUUAUGGAAUAAAAAUUAAAACAAACAACAGAACUGGCGUCGGCGAAUUAAUCUCGAAGGAAUUUUCAAAAUUGAUAAAAACCCACUGCAUAACGUUAACGUGGCUCCCGACGAGCGGAACUUUAAUGGGGUACAAAAACGAAGUAGUCUCGAAGCGCAAAGUACACUUACCUUAGGGCAAAUAGCAUCCGCAAUUACGUAGCCCGCGGCUGUGAAAUUAUGGUAAACGUCCGGUAAACGAAUCAUUAAUGUCAAGCUGGAUAAGAUCAAUUCGAAGUAAAAAAAAAAUCAAUACCGGAUAACGAACAAAGCUUGUUCGACGGAGAAAAAUAUUUUUUUUUCCGAAACAAGUAAAAAUAAAAAUUUCACAAAACAUGUUUAAAAAAACGGCUACCGGGGUGACGUCGUAAAUCGAGAAAAUCCGCUUUUUCGAAUUGGUCGCUUGAAAAGAAAGUGGCUCCUUUUACAAAAGAAUUUUUUGUUCCCCUCAACAACCGAUAAACGUGAUCAGACUUACUUGUCCCAAUGUAAAUUUGCCUUUGUUGUCGCGCAAACACAUGCCAAACGCAGUAUGCAUUGAAUUGCCCGAGGCGCGUCAUUUCAAAUAAAACUAUUUAUUAAGAAGCAUGAUUCGCUGGACGGAUCGUCCUGUGAAUUAGCCUUAAGAAAUUCUGUAAAGCAUGUCUCCUCUCCAUCGAUAUCGAUUGGCACGCAGUGUGAGUGCACCUUAAAUUAUAGAGUACAGUCCCAAUGAGACAAGAACGAUCCUAUGCACGAGUUAUGUUGUUUUUUAUCGAUCCUACGUGAAAAGGAGAUAGCACGCGAUUGAGAUCCUCGUAAAAAAGCUAAAAAACAAAUAUUUAAAAAAAGAUGUCGCAUCAAAAAAAAAUUGAAGAAACUCGUUAAUAUAAUUAACAAAAAUUAUUAUUAGCCACAAUUUUAUUUCCGUGGUGUACCUAAAAUUGUGGGUACAAUUGUUUCGUUGAUGUCAUUGCGUUCUUACGAGGCCAAAAGAUUUCCAUAGCUAAAUCCUGGUGGGCAAGUUUUUAUUGACGCGAUGUAAGCGACGUGGCUGUGAAGAAAAUUCGUUAUUUAGAUUAUACAAGACGAUCAACGAAGUGGAAUCUAUCUACGAGGGUAGCCUUGAAAAUGUUUUGCGAGGGACGAUACUAUCGGGUAUGUAUAAGAUUUGGAAGUGGAGGUCUGCAGCGCUACCGUCGUCAGGCUGAGAAACUGCUAUAAGUUAUAGGCUAUAACGUGUUGUCGGGCAAGUGCACAAGGUGCAUGUCCUUAGUCUGCUAGAAAUCUGGCAGCUGCUUCUUUUGGGUCCAGAACCUGAUCGCUGGACGUUGUAUAGGAUCAGCUACGAGCUACGACGUGGAUGAAGACGAAGAGGAAGAAGUGUACUAAGAAAAAAAAAUAAAAAAGAGGGACGAGGAUGGGACUGAUGAGAAAGUGGCAGCGAGGGCAGCAAGGCCCAGAAAGAGGAAUCAGGGUGAUUAGGGAGAUGCAGGAGUUUGAAAAGGGUGUAUCGUGAGCGCCGUGUGGAAUGAUGGAUCACGCAUGCCGGUAGACGAAGUAGUUGCGGAGGGCCCCGAGAAGAUAAAGAAUGCCGGAGAGACGGUGGGGGCGCAGUGGCUAUGAGGCCCAAAAACCGGUGCACCGUCGCGGGAGCUGCAACGAGACGGAGCAGCAGCAGCUACAGAGCAGGAGCAGAGUCAGCAGCGUUAACAACACGGGAACGAAAGGGCCUUCUCGCCAGGUCCGCCACUGGGCCUCGAAGCUUCGAGGGUCCCAAACCAUCGAGAGAGCCCCCGGGCAUUAAGGCCCAAGUCUCGGACUCUUGCGUAUAUUCGCUCAGGCAACACCGAGCCCAAAGGAGAUGAUCUGUCGGCGCCGAGCAGCUUUGCUUGGCCUGUUAGAAACCGGAGAGGGGACUUACUAGGCCGUGGUGGGGGUAACGCCCUUGACUCGGACUCGGGAGUGGUGGGGGAGUGGGACCCCGUGGCCUUGAGUCCGGCCCGUCUCGUUGUUUAACAGCGUUUCUCAAUCGACUUCACCUUGGCUUUUCGAUCUUUAUUAUAUUUUUGUGUUAUGGAUGGGAGAGCAUCAUUUUUUUUUACAUUUUCGUAUCAUCGCCUUGCUCUUAACGAACUGUGACUUACAAAACGCUACGUGGACACGAGAUCGGGCAUAGACUGUGGCGUUAUAGUUUGGAAAUGCUACUGCCAUAUUAUUUUAUUUUUAUGCCCUUCUCGGCAGGACCGUUUGAACUUUGGGGAUCUGAUGGGAAUUGAAAUUUGACAAAGCGGAAAAUCUGUACUUGUCGCUCACCUUCUUGUAGAAGGUUAUACGUUUUUGUUUUUGGCUUCUGUGUAAAGGCAUUCACGAGAAGUGACGGAAUGGCGUUUCCUCUACGGAUUAUUCGCGCAACGUUAAGAGGCUGAGAUGUCGAGUUUUUGCCGAUAGGAAUCGCGCGGGUUCGUGUCGCGUCUCGCAAUAAUCGCCGUUGCGAUUCAUGAACGCGACGGUAACAUAAGGAACGCCGGCUGCCGUCGCACCGAGCGCUUUGGACAAGGAUGUAAGAAUCCUGGAGAAGCGGAUCCUGGAAGGAUUCCGCAUCUCAAGAAUGUACCGCGACGGAACUUCACGGUAGCAAUUUAACGCGUCACAGCCAGGAUUUAAAUAUUACAGUAAUCUUUAGUUUUUCGUACCUUAUUUUUCAAUCGGGCUGCUACGGAAGCGCGAAAUAAUUAACAUCGCGGAACAACGACAAAUGCGUAACCCGGAUUCCUUGGAUGGAAGAUGUAUUAUUGAAAAUUAUUAUAUGCACUAAUUUACCUAGGUUCUUGCGUUCUUUGCUAAAUUUUUUGCAUUUUCGAGAUUUCAUAAAGCGUAAUAAAAAUCAUUAAACUUCCAAGUAAUCGAGAGCAUUGAUUUAUUAUAUAUGUUAAAUCAAGCUAUAAAUUCUUAUCGAGCUAAAAUACUGUGUACACUUCUGACUUCGUAAAAUUCACAAAAAAAAAUUAAAAAAUUCGUAACUCCUCCCACCACCCCUCAUCGAUAUUCGUAAAUAUCUCUCGCUCGAGGGCCUGAGUAAAUGGAAUUUUUUUUUUUCGAAAGUCCAAUUCCACACAACAUGGCACCACGAUACGGCGUGGGUCGAUGCAAAAUCGAGGAAGUUGAGAACGGAACGCAUGACGUUUCCACAGGGGCGUUUAUAGUGAGGGCUCCGGGGCACCAACCAGUCCCAUUUACACGCUAGUGCGAGUGAGUGAGUCUAUUGCAGUGCGAGGGUGAAGAGAAGAAGUAAAAUAACAGGAGUAAAAGGUGAGAAGAAGAAAGGAAGAGAAUAUUUACAGAAAGGGAGAAGUGACGCCAUUGACGGUGGCGAAGAUAGUCGCCGAUACUCCGUAGCCAGGGACGUAGGAAGAAAGGGCUCCAAACGGGAUACCUUAAAAUAUCAACGCACUGCCUUGGGCACCUUAACAAAGCGUGUACGGCACUGGCCAUCCCGUAAGUAAGGAUUGGAUAAAGCGUCGAGAAGAGGAAAGAGCCUACCACUACCACUAUCCACCACAACAAUUCCUAUAUACGUACAGCGACAAUCCGUGCACUGACGCAGCACUAAAUUCCCUCUUAGAUUUUUUUAUUCGCCCCUGAAAUACCGGCUGACAGUACCACUCGGAACGAACCAGUUAAAUAAAAGAUGUCGGAAGAGGAACGUAUGUACAUACAACUAAUGUGCUUCAACACGCUGAACUUCCUUCCACUUGGCCUACUACUCUACUGAUGGUAGCUGUGAUGACUGCGAUGCGAACAAGCCAGACUAACGUAAACCGAACUGUCUUUCGCUCUUUGGGAAGAUGGGCUUUUUCUUUUUUACAGAAGACUUCCACUUCCUCCAUCGGAACUUUGUUUUUCUUUCCCUGCCGUCUUUACGAGACGGGGAUUCCCCUUCGGCCCUCCUGGCUACUUUUAACCAACAAAACGACACGAAAUCCUUUUGGUUACGGCAGUUCUUAACCGGCGUCAUUUGUUGCGUAACCGAUCAGAAAACUAAAUAAACACGACCGGCGAAUUCUAAUUCUCUUCGUAAUCAUCGUACUAAAGUUAUGUAUAGGUAUUUUAUUUCCGAGCUAUGUCUACGCUGACAUCACUUGCUACUAUACUGCUUUGCACUUAUACAAUCUGGUUAAUUCGUAUCGCUCAUUGUAAUACGACUUUAAGAUUUCGUUCGCCGGCACAGAGAGUGCGCCACUUGCUUACGUCCUAUGCGAACGCUCCCUUUAAAAUUCAUUUCGGCUUUGGGGCUAAUGCUUUUUAUAUCAUCAUUUUUUGUAUCUCCACAAUGAAAUAUAGGUAUCCCUGCGCUCGCAAGAACUUGUCUGUACAAACGGGUGAUCUGAUUCUCAUAAUUUUUUUGCGUGAAAGACGUAUCGUUUGUAUUACUGGAAAAAUUUAUUUUCAUUAUUUAGGUGUUGUCAGAAUUUUUGAAAUUUUACGAGUCACUCGACUGAUUUUCAAAAUCUUUGCUUAUCUUGUCUGCACAGUGAUCUGCGACAUGAUCGAAUUGAUUAGUGAUACGAUCAUUUACGAACACACAAGAUUUAUAACGUACGGAAAAGUACCCGUACAAACGGUCCUUUAAAGUGGCCUUCAAGAACACACGAGAGCUUCGUCGUAAUCGCAGAUACGAUUGGUGUUUCGUUGUGCCAAGAAAAAUUUUCGAACACAGUCCUUGCAUCCUCGACAGUGCAUCCAGCUACGAAGAAAGAUCGGCAAAGGAAAUACCAAAAUAAACAUUAAAUCCACAAUCAUUGAUUGAACUUCGUGAAAAGUAAUUUCAGAUAAAUUCACGUCGGAUAAAAAAGGGCGAGGUCCUUUAUUCUCACUUCGUUACACAUCGACCAAUCUCGGAUAUAUUCGCAUACGAAUACCCACCAGCCCGCCUAUACAGACAGAGCGCGUAAAUUCCAAGUAAAAAAAAACCUACCAAAUAUUCGCCAGCCACAAUUCCCGAAUCCCAAAGUGUCAACAUUCUCUAUAAACUUAACUGAACUUAAAAAAAAAACCUGAAAGAGUAAAUAAUCUGAAACAAAAAAAAACUGAUAAAUUUAAAAAAAAAAUUUCCAAAAACCCAUCCUCACCCAUUUUUUGUUCGAUACAACACGGAGGGACAAAUAACGUUCAAGGAAAUUCCGUCUCGAACAGCACAGACUGAGCUACGCCAAUGAAAUAGUGUCCGCCGACCUUCGAAUCGAAGUCUGGCCGUUUUUGUGCUCCGUGGCUGCAGCCUGGGAAGGGGGUCAGGAACGGAGAGCAGUACGUGCGGGCCUGACGUGUAUAUACACAGAUGGAUAGAGGCACGUCAGUGUGUGAGUUCAGUGGAAAAGGGGAUAAACGAGCCAAGAGAACGAGAAGAAAUCCCUUUAGGAGGGGUGAGUAGAAAGAGACGAAGGCAGGGAAUGAUGGCGGUGCUCGUAUAGGUACCUACUAGGUAUAUACGAGAGAGGGAUGCUGGAAGAAAGAAUGGUGGACCUUCCAUGGUACCAGACUAAUGCAGUUCUCGCAUCGAACUCGUCCCGCCUCGGGAAUAUAUUAUUAGUAUUCUAUGAACUGAAAAUCAUUUCUCGCUCGAGAAAGCAUUCAUUGGCUUAUCCGACUCAUUCGCUCAAGAUCAGGAGACUCGUUACGAAGAACAUAUCGGGUUACGUGGAAACACUUUUUUUUCUUCUUUGUUUUCUUACGAAAUUUUUGUAAGUAUUUUUCCUUCUUUUUCCCUGUCAUCUUUUUUUCCCCUCUUGCGUAUAGACCCUGCUGCUUAUCGAUUUACGACGCUCGCCCUUUGCCAUUUUUUGUGUCUAGUCGACCUAAGCUUUAGGAACUUUUCUUUUCCUGUUGUUUUCAUCCUGGAUUUUAGUAUGCUGCGUACUGUGUGAAACGGGAUUUUUCAAUGGACAUAUUAUUCGCGGGUGUCAGUGACGUGAAAUUUUUUAUUUACUCGCUCGUUCGGGACGUUUCGGAGAUACCGACUUUAUGCGUAAUUUCGACAUUUUUAUGUCAUUUUCACACGUUGUGAUAAUAUCGCCAGAAUUGUGAAUAGGAUUUGCGUGAUAAUUAAACGACAGAUUCUAUCUGGAUUAUUGUGGAAUACUUUGUAAUUCGAUCGAUGUGAACGAUUCGUACAAUGAAAAUGCACGAGGUUGCCAGAGAUAAUUUCUUCAAUUAAAUUUUGAUAUUUUCGACUCUUAUGUUAUUAAUUAAUGCGCGACCAUUGGGUUCAAAGCAAUAACUGCUGAAUCUUUUUUCUGGACAAUCCAGCAUAAACGAUCGUACUAAUAAUUUUAAUUUAUUACUACUUCAUUUUUUUAUUUUAUUUUUUUCUCAAAUUAAACCUUUUUCUUGUAGAUUUAAUUCGAAUCCAUCUCGAUAUGUUACCGUGUUUUAUAAAAUAGUCUUAGACUAUUUCAAGCUAGUUUAUAUACAUUUUCUUAAAAACAGACAGUAACGAUUUCCAAUGACUCAAGUGGUCCACAAUGCGCACGCACGUAUAAACUGCUUCGAUUUGAAUAUGAUUCGAAUUUGAAAAAAAAAAAACCAUAGCUCACAGUGAAGAAGAACGAAGUGAAGAAUUGCUCAUGACUUAAACAAAAAUGUUUAAGCUUUAUCUAUUCGCAUCUUAAACAAUCGUAUCUCGCGAGAUGAAUCACGAUGCUUUUUAUUUAAAAUUUAUAUAAAUUUUUUGUAUCAUGAAAGAAUUUCGUUGGCAUUCUCAUCCCUUAAACCAGUUUACUCAUCUUAUGGAUUAUGCAAAAAGUUCUUUAUGAUUUUCAAAAUUUCGCGAAUACCUUUGUCUCCCCACCCCGUUACCACCCACCUACCCCCCGCACCAACCCUGAACCCCUGAACGAUACGUACUACAGUGUGGCUUAUGGAACAGCAGUAUGAGAGAAGAAUAAGAGAAUUAAAGAAAGAAAUAAAAACUUGUGAAUCAAAUGAACGUUUAUGCGAAUGUUUGAGUCAGCCUGGAGUCGCGUUAAACGAAAGUCGCCCGAAUUAUAUCAGUUGGCGUCUUAAAGGCUUACUCACAGAAAUUAGUAACCAACUAACGAGCAACGUACACGAAGAAUCGAAUCUACACGGUGUACGAGUUGUCUCGAAAUUUUUUUAGUGAAAACAAAAAAUCGAUUGGCGAUAUAAAAAAAAAUUUUUUACACAAGCAAAAAGUAAAAGUCAAAAAGUCAAUACGAAAUUUUCGCGCGACUCGCGUUGGAUUCUUCGGCAUAAAUAGGUAGGUAAAUUAGAAAAUAAGUGCGAACGAAGUCUGGAAGUUAUGCGAAUAUUUAGUAUAUCGGACAUGAUUAUAAAUCCGUUUAGCGGAAAUGGUAGUCGUUUCACGCGCUGAAAACGUCCCUGAUAUUUGGGGUAGGGGAUAUAUAUGUAUAUCAUAUAUAUAUAUAUAUAUCAUAUACAUAUAUAUAUAUCUAUCUUUACGUGGCGAGGGGCCAACGAUAUAGACAAUGGAGACACCUUUUGUCUGCAACGAAUUGCAAAAGCAAAUCAUUUCGUGCGCAUGCGCGAACGCGGCACGAUUAAUAUUCGUUGUUCGUAUAACAAAGAGAUAAAAGAGACAGAGAAAAAAAUGGGAAAGAGAUAUAAUUUAAACAAUAGAGAUCACAUCGACGGUCUAUACGUAUCCUUUUCGUCCAUAAAUCUUCGAAUCCCUCGAGAAUUAAUUAUUUGUUACCUGUAACACAACUGUUCAGUGUUAAUCCCAGCCCCCCAGCCCUCUGGUGAUAACGAUAAAUGCCACAAGUGACGAAAGAGAUGAAAAAAACAAAGAAAGAGGGAAAAAACCGAUUUAAAUACGUUUGUUAAAUGCAUAUUGUUAUUAUUAUCACAUAAGAGCUAUUUAAAUCCAUAGCUUGGGCUGUCGCUCGGGACACGAUACGUCUGCGUCAAAAAUUUUUGUGACGUCAUCGCUUCUAUCGAGGUAGACAUUUAUUUUUUGAAAAAAAAAAUUGAAAAAAAACUUGAAAGAUUCUUCGUCGCAAUUUUCAAAAUUUCUUCUUAUUCUUUAUGCCGAUCACAAACAAUACUUACUGCAAGGAGUAGGGGGCGGGGGUCUAAUUAAUUUUGAAAAAAAAAAUGAUGACAAUUCUUAAGUGAUAAGCACGUUGGGUGAGAAGGAAGGGGCUGUAAAUGAAUUGUUUGUGAUUUUCGCAUAAGUAUUAUUGUCUUUCGUAGAAAUUGGAAUUUUGAAUGACAUUGCGAUUGGUGCUUGUUGUAAAUGUGGUACUUUGAUGGAAAAAAUGGCGAGUGACGUCGCAAAAAUUAAUGACAAGAUUUAUUGAUGCCCGAAUACGACAUUGACAAUGCCCAUACAUACGAAGUCUGUAAUCGAAAUGUUUUAUAUUUUUACACCGAACAAACAGUAUAUAACGUACAAUAAACAAUAAACAUGUCCUUCCAAUCGCAACCUCAAAUAACAAAUGUUAUAUUUUUAUUUUUGCAAUAACCCAAUAUCACAUCCGAUAUCUGAGCUAUACAGUAAACAUAUAGUGACACUUAGGAUAUUGGAAUCGGCUAGGAUUUCAGUUUUAUUAUCCGCAGGAAUCACAAGCAAUCUUACAGUCUCAUCUGAAACACGACAAUUUUUUGUGCAAUCGUAUAGAAAAGAGAAAGAGAGAGAGAAAGAGAGAGAGAGGAAAAAAAGUACCACGAUAUUUAUCGAUGUUACGGACAUUUUGUGAUCUGGACAAAAAAUAUCAUGAAUCGACUUUACGAACGCACGUCGGCCGUUACUUUAUUACGUCAUGACGGUUAACAGUCGUAUUUUUGUUUUUGCUAAGCGCGCAAUGAUUUUCGAAGUGAUUUUUAUUUUUGAGUUUUAUUUCGCAUUUUUGUAUUGUUUUUGGUUUAAUUUGGUUUUCCAUGUAUUUUUGUUGUUGUUGUCUCUUGGGAAUUCUUGUUCCUGAGUCUUACGGUCGGCGGUUAAAUUUUUUUUUUCUCUUUUUCCCCAAUAAAUUUUAUGGCAAUAUUAUCAAUGCAAUAACUUACACGAAAAAUUUCACUAGGAUAUUGUAUGCAUUACGUGCGUAAUACGAUCGUCGUCGAUGUUUCUUUCGUCAACGACGCCGAACCGGAUGAAAAUACGAGAGAGAAAUGAAAUGAAUGGAAGCAUUUUUCUUCAUCGUAUUUAAUUAUAUCGUAUAAGUAUCGAAUCAAAAGGAUAUUAUUAAAGGAUAGGACCGUAGCGUGCGCAGUCGCGGACUGCUGCAACUUUUAACAUUGUACCGAUUGUUUUAAUGUUUAAGAAACAAAAAAGGUGUAUAUAUGUAUGUAUUAUAGGUAUACAUAUACAGAGGUUUCCACGUUAUCGAAAUUGUUUUUCAAAUGCUUUCACCUACAAUGGCAGCCAUAAAACUCGUGCUUUUAAAACGUAGGGACGAAAAAGUGGUUAAGAACUUUUAAAUUCAAAUUCAACAUUUUUAUUGACUCGUUCGUGACGUAAACGCAUUUUUAUGGACGACAAUGCAUCUUUAUGCAAUUCGACAGCUGAUUAUAAUUUGAGGAUUCGUGACGUUCGAACGUACAUUAAAUAAUUCAUUAUUAUCGGCCGAUCGAUUCGAAAGAGCUGUCGGUAACUUAUCGACUGAUAGAAAUUUCAGUUAAAUGGAACAGGAAAUAAAGUUAACGGUUUAAAAAAAAAAUUUUAAAUCGACGAAGUUUACACAAUUUCAAUUAUGAAAAAUACAUAGAAUGUUGGUCGGGGAAAUGUAUCGAAGAUCAAUAUUAAAAAAUUAAUUAGGUUCAUCGUGGGAACAUAUGUGGAGGCAAUUUGCCGAAUAAAAUUAGAGCGAUAUUCAAUUGGCGACAGAGAAACGUGACAUCGGCGAUACUCACGAAAAAAGGAAACCCGCGAACAUACAAGUUGAUCAAAAAAAAUUUUCGCAAGGCUUCCUUUUAUCGGUCGACUAUUUCUGUACAAUCUUACGCGAGUCUCCUUUUAAUUUCUCAAUUGCAAGUUUGUGACCCAUUAAUAAAAAUUCGGUUAAACGGAACUAAGUGCGACAAGAAGAAGGAGAGGAAUAAAGAAGUGAAAAAAAGUAAAUAAAAAUUAAAUUGUAAGAUUAGGUAAAAAAAAAUGUUUAAUUCUCGAAAAUCGAGAUGUACGAGCACGUGCCUAAGUGGGGGAAGCCUAUGUAUUCUGUGAAUAUGUAAAUUAGCACUCGUCGUGCAAAUCGCCAUUUUGAUUUCGUCGGGAAUCGGGAAAUCGUCGAUACCACGCGAAUUUCACGUGGUACCAGGGUUAUGUUGCUGCCGUCACAAGCUUUGACAGCUGUGAAAAAAAAUAAAUAAAGAUAAUCGUGAUUCAAUUCCAUGAUUUUCAUUGGAAGCGCAAGUGUUUGUACGACGCAUGCGCAGUUACUUGGAAACCCCUAUAUAUAUAUUUCAAAGACGUGUCCAUGAAAAGAAAAGAGAAAAAAAAUCGAUGAGUGUUUUAUGUGUACUAAAAUGUUCCCUUUUAUUCAUACUAAGACUUCAAAAAUCGUAUUAAGUAUUAUACAUUAUUACUUGUAUAUAAAUAUGUGAUACAAAUAUAUAUAUAUAUAUAUAUAUAUAUCUAUUUAUUAUAGUUUUUCGUUUGAUAUUCACUAUUUAUACGUGACGUUCUUUUUUCUCAUCGUUUUCUUUAACGCGAUAUUUCACGAAAAUAGAUGCAUACGAUUUGUCUUCAGACACCGUCAAAUGUUGACCACACGUUAUUAAAGUUUAUCAACUAUUAUUCAUAAAACAUUAACAAGAACAAUUUUGUAUUAUCUCUUGUAUACAAUAGCCAGAUACGUCCAUUAAGGAUUGUACGGAAACAAAAGAUUCUUCUAGGCUCGUUUAGUUCGUUUGUCGUAAAAAAGAUUGUGUGUUCAAAUAAAGUUAUGGAGAAAAGAAAAGAAUGAAGCACGUAACGUGCGUAAUUACGCCGCGUACUCAUCGCACGAACAUUUCGAACGGCGAAUUGUGAUGGCAUUAGUAUACAUUAUAUAUACUAUUGUUUCUUUGUCGCAUCAUCGAAGGAAGCAAGCAUGUGGUAUAAUUAAGCUCGAUUAAUUGAUUUUAUUCGUACGCAGAUACACAUAGCUAGAUUCCAUACGUCAUUCGUUCAAGCGAGAUUCACCGUCCCUGACGUUUUUUCCUAUGAUUCUGUCAACGGCUUUUUAUAGUGUAAAAUCAACUGAAAAGCAGUGCGCACGAAAGCGAGGGAUCUUUUAAAAUGACUCGUUCAUAUCUUGUAAAAAAAAAAGACACAAAUAAACCCAACAAGAAAAAAAUACCGGGAACGACCUGUUUCUUCUUGGAGGAAAAUAAAGACUUGGUGAAAAUCCAGAAAAUUUCCAUAUU